rnacentral:ncRNA from 2 species
UUGAUAAGAGUAAUCCUGUUGAAAAGCAGAGACACAAAGCUAUAGGGUCUAAGGCUUUUUUGAAAGAAGCUAUGACAGCCAGUUGCCG